rnacentral:lncRNA from 1 species
GAUUAUUCAUUGAAGAAACAUUUAUUUUCCAAUUGUGUGAAGUUUUUGACUGUUAAUAAAAGAAUCUGUCAACCAUCAAAAGAAAAAAAA